GAGGAAGUAAAAGUCGUAACAAGGUCUCCGUAGGUGAACCUGCGGAGGGAUCAUUACAAGUGACCCCGGUUUACCACCGGGAUGUUCAUAACCCUUUGUUGUCCGACUCUGUUGCCUCCGGGGCGACCCUGCCUUCGGGCGGGGGCUCCGGGUGGACACUUCAAACUCUUGCGUAACUUUGCAGUCUGAGUAAACUUAAUUAAUAAAUUAAAACUUUUAACAACGGAUCUCUUGGUUCUGGCAUCGAUGAAGAACGCAGCGAAAUGCGAUAAGUAAUGUGAAUUGCAGAAUUCAGUGAAUCAUCGAAUCUUUGAACGCACAUUGCGCCCCCUGGUAUUCCGGGGGGCAUGCCUGUUCGAGCGUCAUUUCACCACUCAAGCCUCGCUUGGUAUUGGGCAACGCGGUCCGCCGCGUGCCUCAAAUCGACCGGCUGGGUCUUCUGUCCCCUAAGCGUUGUGGAAACUAUUCGCUAAAGGGUGUUCGGGAGGCUACGCCGUAAACAACCCCAUUUCUAAGGUUGACCUCGGAUCAGUAGGAUCCCGCUAACUUUAAGCAUAUCAAUAG
rnacentral:rRNA from 1 species